rnacentral:rRNA from 1 species
AGUGAACGCUGGCGGUAGGCCUAACACAUGCAAGUCGAACGGCAGCACAGUAAGAGCUUGCUCUUACGGGUGGCGAGUGGCGGACGGGUGAGGAAUACAUCGGAAUCUACUUUUUCGUGGGGGAUAACGUAGGGAAACUUACGCUAAUACCGCAUACGACCUACGGGUGAAAGCAGGGGAUCUUCGGACCUUGCGCGAUUGAAUGAGCCGAUGUCGGAUUAGCUGGUUGGCGGGGUAAAGGCCCACCAAGGCGACGAUCCGUAGCUGGUCUGAGAGGAUGAUCAGCCACACUGGAACUGAGACACGGUCCAGACUCCUACGGGAGGCAGCAGUGGGGAAUAUUGGACAAUGGGCGCAAGCCUGAUCCAGCCAUACCGCGUGGGUGAAGAAGGCCUUCGGGUUGUAAAGCCCUUUUGUUGGGAAAGAAAAGCAGCAGGUUAAUACCCCGCUGUUCUGACGGUACCCAAAGAAUAAGCACCGGCUAACUUCG